UACGUAGGAGGCAAGCGUUGUCCGGAAUUACUGGGCGUAAAGGGCCAGUAGGCGGCCAACUAAGUCACACGUGAAAUCCCCAGGCUUAACCUGGGAACUGCGUGUGAUACUGGAUGGCUUGAAUUCGGGAGAGGGAUGCAGAAUUCCAGGUGUAGCGGUGAAAUGCGUAGAUAUCUGGAGGAAUACCGGUGGCGAAGGCGGCAUCCUGGACCGACAUUGACGCUGAACGGCGAAAGCUAGGGGAGCAAACGGG
rnacentral:rRNA from 1 species